rnacentral:rRNA from 1 species
GACGAACGCUGGCGGCGUGCUUAACACAUGCAAGUCGUACGGUAAGGCCCUUUCGGGGGUACACGAGUGGCGAACGGGUGAGUAACACGGGAGUAACCUGCCCACAACUUUGGGAUAACGCUAGGAAACUGGUGCUAAUACUGGAUAUGUGCUCCUGCUGCAGGGUGGGGGUUGGAAAGCUCCGGCGGUUGUGGUUGGCCUCGCGGCCUAUCAGCUUGUUGGUGGGGUAGUGGCCUACCAAGGCGGCGACGGGUAGCCGGCCUGAGAGGGUGCCCGGCCACAUUGGGACUGAGAUACGGCCCAGACUCCUACGGGAGGCAGCAGUGGGGAAUAUUGAACAAUGGGCGCGAGCCGGAUGCAGCAACGCCGCGUGCGGGAUGACGGCCUUCGGGUUGGAAAACGCUUUCAGCAGGGACGAAGCUUUUUGUGACGGUACCUGCAGAAGAAGCACCGGCUAACUACGUG